CUUUCAAAAUUCUAGAUCUGCC
rnacentral:miRNA from 1 species